rnacentral:rRNA from 1 species
UACGAAGGGAGCUAGCGUUGUUCGGAAUCACUGGGCGUAAAGCGCACGUAGGCGGAUUUGUCAGUCAGGGGUGAAAUCCCGGGGCUCAACCUCGGAACUGCCUUUGAUACAGCAAGUCUUGAGUUCGAGAGAGGUGGGUGGAAUUCCUAGUGUAGAGGUGAAAUUCGUAGAUAUUAGGAAGAACACCAAUGGCGAAGGCAGCUCUCUGGGACGGUACUGACGCUGAGACGCGAAAGCGUGGGGAGCGAACAGG